AAAACAUCUCAACUCUUCCGAAUCCAAUUUGUUUAUUUUAUCGCGGCUUGCGCGUUCUUCUGAUAAAUAAAAAAAUUUUUGUUCACAAAAUAUUGACGUUGCUUAUUGAAAAGCUUAAAGGACACUUUUUAAUUUAUGCAAAGAAUCAUUUAAAGUUCUUUACUGGUGUUUAAGCUUUGUUCAGGGCCCAGUAUUUAUUUGCUAUGUUAAAAUCACACUAAACGAAGGGAGCAUAAAUGAGCGGAUAGCAAAUAAAAAAGAUCAUAUUAAGAAAGUUGCUUUCUUACAAUGUGCAAAAACAAAUGGGGAAUUUCGAAUUCAACCCAAAUUAGCAUUCUUCAGAUACCUUUUUUUUAAAAAACUAUUCUAUGACCUAUUUUUCUGAAACACAAUCAAGACUGCUUACAUUUUGUGUCUUUCAAUUUCUUUUCGAAAGAUUUUUGGGAAUAUUGAUGUAAUGAAUUUCAG